rnacentral:rRNA from 1 species
UCACCAAAAGAUGACCCUCCGAGAACCCGGUGGAAUUUAGAACAACCGAAGGGUCCCCCUAUAUUUCCGCUGACCUAGAACAGGCAGCUCAGCGGCUAGCUUUCCCCCGCCGAACUAGCAUAUCAAUAAGCGGAGGAAAAGAAACCAACAGGGAUUGCCCUAGUAACGGCGAGUGAAGCGGCAACAGCUCAAAUUUGAAAUCUGGCUCUUUUAGAGUCCGAGUUGUAAUUUGCAGAGGGCGCUUUGGCUUUGGCAGCGGUCCAAGUUCCUUGGAACAGGACGUCACAGAGGGUGAGAAUCCCGUACGUGGUCGCUGGCUAUUGCCGUGUAAAGCCCCUUCGACGAGUCGAGUUGUUUGGGAAUGCAGCUCUAAAUGGGAGGUACAUUUCUUCUAAAGCUAAAUAUUGGCCAGAGACCGAUAGCGCACAAGUAGAGUGAUCGAAAGAUGAAAAGCACUUUGGAAAGAGAGUCAAACAGCACGUGAAAUUGUUGAAAGGGAAGCGCUUGCAGCCAGACUUGCUUGCAGUUGCUCAUCCGGGCUUUUGCCCGGUGCACUCUUCUGUAGGCAGGCCAGCAUCAGUUUGGGCGGUAGGAUAAAGGUCUCUGUCACGUACCUCUCUUCGGGGAGGCCUUAUAGGGGAGACGACAUACUACCAGCCUGGACUGAGGUCCGCGCAUCUGCUAGGAUGCUGGCGUAAUGGCUGUAAGCGGCCCGUCUUGAAACACGGACCAAGGAGUCUAACAUCUAUGCGAGUGUUUGGGUGUCAAGCCCGAGCGCGUAAUGAAAGUGAACGGAGGUGGGAACCCGCAAGGGUGCACCAUCGACCGAUCCUGAUGUCUUCGGAAGGAUUUGAGUAAGAGCAUGGCUGUUGGGACCCGAAAGAUGGUGAACUAUGCUUGAAUAGGGUGAAGCCAGAGGAAACUCUGGUGGAGGCUCGCAGCGGUUCUGACGUGCAAAUCGAUCGUCAAAUUUGGGCAUAGGGGCGAAAGACUAAUCGAACAUAUUAUUGUUC